UCGGGAAUUUUGGGCAAUGGGCGAAAGCCUGACCCAGCAACGCCGCGUGAAGGAUGAAGUAUUUCGGUAUGUAAACUUCGUAAGAAUAGGAAGAAUAAAUGACGGUACUAUUUAUAAGGUCCGGCUAACUACGUGCCAGCAGCCGCGGUAAUACGUAGGGACCAAGCGUUGUUCGGAAUUACUGGGCGUAAAGCGUACGUAGGCGGUGACUCAAGUCAGAGGUGAAAGCCUGGAGCUCAACUCCAGAACUGCCUUUGAAACUAGGUCGCUAGAAUCACGGAGAGGUGAGUGGAAUUCCGAGUGUAGAGGUGAAAUUCGUAGAUAUUCGGAAGAACACCAGUGGCGAAGGCGGCUCACUGGACGUGUAUUGACGCUGAGGUACGAAAGCGUGGGGAGCAAACAGGAUUAGAUACCCAAGUAGUCCCUGAGCGGGCUGGCAAGGCGCAU
rnacentral:rRNA from 1 species